rnacentral:tRNA from 1 species
GGGGAUAUAGCUCAGUCGGUAGAGCGCCGCCCUUGCAUGGCGGAUGCCAGCGGUUCGAGUCCGCUUAUCUCCA